UACAGAGGGCGCGAGCGUUGUCCGGAAUCACUGGGCGUAAAGGGCGCGUAGGUGGCCACCAUAAGGCCGCGGUGAAAGUUCGGGGCUCAACCCCGGAUCGGCCGCGGCGACUGUGGGGCUCGGGUACUGUAGAGGCAGAUGGAAUUCCGGGUGUAGCGGUGGAAUGCGUAGAGAUCCGGAAGAACACCAGUGGCGAAGGCGGCACUCUGGGCCGUGACUGACGCUGAGGCGCGAAAGCGUGGGGAGCGAACAGG
rnacentral:rRNA from 1 species